UACGGGGGGGGGCAAGCGUUGUUCGGAAUUACUGGGCGUAAAGGGUUCGUAGGUGGCCCGCUAAGUCAGACGUGAAAUCCCUCAGCUCAACUGGGGAACUGCGUCUGAGACUGGUGGGCUUGAGUGCAGGAGAGGAACGCGGAAUUCCAGGUGUAGCGGUGAAAUGCGCAGAUAUCAGGAGGAACACCGAUGGCGAAGGCAGGUCUCUGGGCCACUACUGACGCUGAGAAGCGAAAGCAUGGGGAGCGAACAGG
rnacentral:rRNA from 1 species